AUAUCACGUUGAAAGACCGGUUCUCCUAUGAUCACCGAAGUUAAGCAACAUUGAGGCUGAUCAGUAUGUAGAUGGGUGACUGCUUGAGAAUACCAGGUGCU